rnacentral:rRNA from 1 species
UAGGGAAUCUUCGGCAAUGGGGGCAACCCUGACCGAGCAACGCCGCGUGAGUGAAGAAGGUUUUCGGAUCGUAAAGCUCUGUUGUAAGAGAAGAACGUGUGUGAGAGUGGAAAGUUCACACAGUGACGGUAACUUACCAGAAAGGGACGGCUAACUACGUGCCAGCAGCCGCGGUAAUACGUAGGUCCCGAGCGUUGUCCGGAUUUAUGGGCGUAAAGCGAGCGCAGGCGGUUUAAUAAGUCUGAAGUUAAAGGCAGUGGCUUAACCAUUGUUCGCUUUGGCAAAUGUUAUACUUGAGUGCAGAAGGGGAGAGUGGAAUUCCAUGUGUAGCGGUGAAAUGCGUAGAUAUAUGGAGGAACACCGGUGGCGAAAGCGGCUCUCUGGACUGUAACUGACGCUGAGGCUCGAAAGCGUGGGGAGCAAACAGG